CCCUACGGGAGGCAGCAGUGAGGAAUAUUGGUCAAUGGGCGGGAGCCUGAACCAGCCAAGUCGCGUGAAGGAAGAAGGUACUUAGUAUUGUAGACUUCUUUUGUCGGGGAACAAAGGCGGAGACGCGUCUCCGGAUGAGUGUACCCGAAGAAAAAGCAUCGGCUAACUCCGUGCCAGCAGCCGCGGUAAUACGUAGGUGGCAAGCGUUAUCCGGAUUUAUUGGGUGUAAAGGGCGUGUAGGCGGGAUUGCAAGGCAGAUGUGAAAACCAAGGGCUCAACCUG
rnacentral:rRNA from 1 species